AACCCCAAAGUGCCCCAGCUAUUAGUUCUAGGGGAUAAUAGUAUCUUGGCUACAUCCAACUAUGACCCUGUUAAGAAGACUGUAGUCAUUGUCCAUGGGUGGAAGAAUACUCCUAGUGAUGACUUUAAUGUUCUGUUAAUUGCUGCAUAUCUGCAAGCUGAGGAUAUAAAUAUGAUUAGUGUGGAUUGGAGCAUAGGAGCCGGUGCCUUAUACCAUGUGGCCAUAUUCAAUAACGUCGUUACAGG